rnacentral:lncRNA from 1 species
UCCUUGUUUCCUUUUAUUCCUUUUCUCUUUUGUACUUUAGUGACGUGUAAUCGCCGUCUUACAAACUCGUACUCUCCUAUCAUGUCUACACUGGCUGUGCGUAUGGAUGUACUGUGUCAUUUUCUAUCAUUAGACGACCAUUUAAUUCCAUCCGGCAUCACUUGGACAUGAUCUCGGGUGUCACGGUGUUUAUUGUCCCAUGGAGCUAACGAAUAUUUGAGGUCUGGGCCUCAUGUACAGGUUCG